UCCUACGGGGGGCAGCAGUGAGGAAUAUUGGUCAAUGGGCGAGAGCCUGAACCAGCCAAGUCGCGUGAAGGAUGACGGCCCUACGGGUUGUAAACUUCUUUUAUCAGGGAGCAAUUGAGUCCACGUGUGGGCUUAGCGAGAGUACCUGAAGAAAAAGCAUCGGCUAACUCCGUGCCAGCAGCCGCGGUAAUACGGAGGAUGCGAGCGUUAUCCGGAUUUAUUGGGUUUAAAGGGUGCGUAGGCGGAAUAUCAAGUCAGCGAUAAAAAUUCGGGGCUCAACCCCGUCGUGCCGUUGAAACUGAUGU
rnacentral:rRNA from 1 species